rnacentral:rRNA from 1 species
GACAGAGGAUGCAAGCGUUAUCCGGAAUGAUUGGGCGUAAAGCGUCUGUAGGUGGCUUUUUAAGUCUGCCGUCAAAUCCCAGGGCUUAACCCUGGACAGGCGGUGGAAACUACCAGGCUGGAGUACGGUAGGGGCAGGGGGAAUUUCCGGUGGAGCGGUGAAAUGCAUUGAGAUCGGAAAGAACACCAACGGCGAAAGCACUCUGCUGGGCCGACACUGACACUGAGAGACGAAAGCUAGGGGAGCAAACAGG